CCUACGGGUGGCAGCAGUGAGGAAUAUUGGUCAAUGGACGAGAGCCUGAACCAGCCAAGUCGCGUGAAGGAUUAAUGCCCUAUGGGUCGUACACUUCUUUUAUAUGGGAGUAAAAUGUUCCACGUGUCGGAUUUUGUAUGUACCAUCUGCACAAGGAACGGCUAAACUCGUGCCCGCAGCCGCGGUAAUACGGAGGAUCCUAGCGUUAUCCGGAUUUAUUUGGUUUAAAGGGAGCGUAUGUGGAGUCUUAAAUCCGUUGUGAAAGUUUGAGGCUCAACCGUAAAAUUGCAGUUGAAACUGGCAGUCUUGAGUGCGGUAGAGGUGGGCGGAAUUCGUGGUGUAGCGGUGAAAUGCAUAGAUAUCACGAAGAACUCCGAUUGCGAAGGCAGCUCUCUGGACUGCAACUGACACUGAGGCUCGAAAGUGUGGGUAUCAAACAGGAUUAGAUACCCCAGUAGUC
rnacentral:rRNA from 1 species